rnacentral:lncRNA from 1 species
AAAGGAAAAACCCCAUGUCAAAAAAUGCACAGCAAGUCCCCUUCUCCUUAACACCCCCCUGGAAGGGAUGCUGGGAACGACUGCUCUGCAAGGGAUAAACUCCUGGGAUUCUUUAAAUGUCUGAAAUCCUGGACAGCCUCUGCCAGCCAGGGAUGGUCAGAAUCACUAGAUGGCACCUUCCUGCUUUUCUGUUUAAAGCAGCCUUUUCUUGCACACCAUGAGGACUGGAAUCUUACUUUAGCAUAAAGGGAAGGGCUGCGGCUUGGUCGUCAGAGCAUCUGCUUGGCGUGCAGAAGGUCGCAGGUUUGAUCUCAGGCAACAUCUCCAGGUAGGACUGGGAGAGACCCCUGAGCCCCAAAUCCCAAAGAGCUACUGCCAGGCAGUGUUGACAGUAUUGAGCUAGGUGGGACCAGUUACUAGGAUAUUUUUAAGGCCCCUUCUUAUGACCCUCCUGGCUUUUGUAGUGCAGGUGGAAGGCAAGAAGAGGAAACUGUCUUCUCCCACUGCCCAGCACAUGUAAUUAACUUUUUAAUUCAUUGGUCAAUCAAUUAACAGCCAAGUAGGGGGGCUGCCUUCUUGCCAGAAAUGAGCUUUCUCUUUCAGGCUAAACCACAGAAGAUGGAGCCAGCUUGUUUUCUGCUGCUCCAGCAAGCCAAGCAAGUGGAUUCAAAAUGCAAGGAAGGAGAUUCCUGCUAAACACCCGGCUGGGAUUCUGGAGCUGGGAUUGCUGCAUUGCAGAGGGCUGGACUAGAUGACACUUGGAGACCCCUUCCAACUCUGCAAUUUUGGGAUUCUUUGAAAUAAACCACACUUUAAAAAGCGUGACGAAGAAAAAAGGCCUGUGUUUUGGUCGAUAGCUAGCCCUCGAUAUAGUUUAGAAAGAAGCACAUUUGGCACUCAGGAGACCUCACACCCCCUUUCACGGAGAAACGGGCUUCUCGCGCAGACGGCAGAUGGACCACACGGUCUCCUGGCAAAGGAGCUGUCCGAAAAAGCAACAUCAACUCCUCGACCCGUUUUGCUGGUUUCGUCCUUGAGCAAAGCUGCUCCAGAAUGCCAUCCUUGCAUUCCCGCACUUUGCGCUGGGGAAACCUGGACCUCCUAGGCUCGCUCGCCUUCCCUGUCUCGCCUCCUUCACACGGAUCUGGGACCAGCAGAGGGUUAAUUUUAGACAAUUAGCUGUGUCAGUUGAACUAAGUUAACAGGUGAGGCAGGAAUAAUUUGCUUGAGGGAAGAAUGGUAGGGGAGAGGAAAGAGAGAUGUCGGAAAGGUUCGCUCUAAGAGGAGCCGGCAGACGAGGGCCUGUUCACACAGCCAUGUGGGAGACGGGUGGGCAGCAACCAUGUUUGUGGUAGGCUGAGCAUCUCACCGGACCACGUUCAGAGGCAGCGACAUCUCUGAACAGCAGUUGCUUGAAAUGGCCAGAGGGGAGAGGGCUCUUAAAUGCUUUGCUCCCAAACUGGUUGGCCACUGUAAGAACCGGACACUGAACUAAAUGGAAACCCUUUGGCUUGUUUCAGCAGCCGGGCUCUAUUCAUGGGGCCUCCAGGUCCAGAGGCAGUCUACCUUAGGGGCAUUUGACCACUGUGAGGACAGGAGGCUGGACUAGAUGGGCAGAUGGGAAGAUUCAGCAGUCCUGGCUUGUGUACUUAUAGAACCUCCCAGGCCAGGGACAGUGAUGGGCACUUUGCCCACCUGUAGAGGAAUCACCUUGCCAACAAAGGUCCGUAUAGUCAAAGCUCUGGUUUUCCCAGUAGCGAUGUAUGGAAGUGAGAGCUGGACCAUCAAGAAGGCUGAUCGCCGAAGAAUGGAUGCUUUUGAAUUCUGGUGCUGGAGGAGACUCUUGAGAGUCCCAUGGACUGCAAGAAGAUCCAACCUCUCCAUUCUGAAGGAAAUCAGCCCUGAGAGCUCACUGGAAGGACAGAUCCUGAAGCUGAGGCUCCAAGACUUUGGCCACCUCAUGAGAAGAGAAGACUCCCUGGAAAAGACUCCCUUGGGAAAGAUGGAGGACACAAGGAGAAGGGGACGACAGAGGACGAGAUGGUGGGACAGUGUUCUCGAAGCUACCAACACGAGGGAGGCAGUGGAAGACAGGAGUGCCUGGCGUGCUCUGGUCCAGGGGGUCACGAAGAGGCGGACACGACUAAACAACAACAACAACAAGAGGAAUCGUGUGGUGUUUCUGCAAGCUGCAGCAGUUAAGAGGACAUUAUUACCUCAUAAGAGGAGCCUGAUGGGUCCGACCAGAAACCCAUUUAAUGGCACAUCCAGUUCUCACAGUGGCCAAGCAGAGGCUGGUUGAGGAACCUGGAAUCUAGACCCAAGUGCAGCAGAACUCCUGCAUUCUUUGGCUUCCAGCAACUGGUAUUUGAGAAAUAUUGCUUCCUCUGACCGUGAAGGCAGUGCAAAGCCAUCCUGAUUAGUAGCCAUUAAUAGUCGUCUCCUCCAUGAAUCUGUCUAAUCCCCUUUUAAAGCCAUCCAGGUCUCUGGCCGCUGCAGCCUCCAGUGGCAGGGAGUUCCACAGUUGAACUAUGCAUCCACCUGUCCUGAAUCUUCCAACCACCUCAGUAGAGUGCUUGGGCGUUUUAAGCCCUAAUUCUACACCAUAUCCGCGCUCCAGUUCUGAGUCGACAAAGACUUUCCCGCCACAGCUCACAACCGAGCCACCCUGAGGUCAUCUGUCCGCACUUUCCCCCGGUGUCCUUGUGUGAGCCGCCCUUUGGCUUUUGCCCCCCGGCCGUUUCAAAGAAGCUUCCCCCCCCCCCGCCAGCCGCCAGGUCCAGCUGUCACAGCGCAGUGAGGUAAGAAACGAGCAAGACUAAUGAAUGCAAUAACAGCCACUUAAAAUAAAGUAUGUUUUAUUAAAAGCAAUAAUGGCUCCUCGUGUCGGGACGUGGCAUGCGGUUUGCUGCCGGACCGAGAAUGACAAAUCGACAGUCCCCAGACCACUCUGCCCUUCGGAGAUAUCUGCGGACGAGAAUUUGGCUGGCUUCCACUCCAGGACUGAAUAUAAGAGCAGAAGAAGGACCUGCUGAACCAGGUAACGUCUCACCUGGCCGAGCCUCCUGUUCUCACAGUGGCCAACCAUAGGGGAAGCCUCCCAGCAGGACCUGAGUGCGAGAGCAAUUCUAUCCUUCUGGGAUUUCGAGCAACUGGUUGAUGGAUCGAGUUUUCUCACAUGCUGCUUUCGCGCAACGAGCUCCGCCAAAAGUGGCUUGGGGCAAACAUCCAAAACACCGAAAUGCAGAGCAUCGGAAAUGCAAAAUAUUCAAAAUACAGAGCAGGCCUGUAAAUUCAGAAAUGACAAAAAGCAAUGAUUCGGUGAACACAGAAUAAAUUCAAUAUCGCAAAAUGAUCCAGCUUAAUUACAUAAAUACAAAGCAAAACAAGAGCUCACCAUUUUCUGGCCCUGGUCUCUCUGCGCUGCAAGGAGCUUGGCCUACAUAAAGCACAGAGAGGAGAGAAAGAUGACAGGCAGCUUGCCUCCCUCACGCUUACUCCAGAGGAGGCUGGCAGCAGCAGCAGGAGGGCACUGGUGGUCAGCCUCUUCUCCACCCUCCUGGAAGUCCAGCUGCUGGCCCGUGUCUUAUUGCACUAGGAUUCAGAAGCACGACUGCCUUUGAAUUUGUCCAAUCCUCUUUCAAAGCCAUCCAAGUUGCUUGCCAUCCCUGCCUCCUGUGGCAGUGAGUUCCGCAUCCCAACACUGCCUUGCUUUGAUGGUGUAGUACAGUUCUGAGAUGGUGUGGGCACAUGCACACACAACCCUCCUGCGUUGGCGGGGGCACCUGAGCAAAUCGUGGGAAGCCGCCUUCUACCACCUCGUCCAUCUAGCUCAGUACUGCCAACACGGGCUGGCAGCAGCAUUUCAGGGAUUCAGGCCAGGAGCCUCUCCCAGCCCAGCCUGAAGAUGGAUUGAACCAGGGACCUUCUGCAUACAAGCCAGGUGCUUGAACACUGAGCUUGGCCCCAUCUGCGGACUUUAUUGGGGAAAUGGAGGGGCUGCCAUGAGCCCACUCCUAUUCCCCCCCCCAAUUUUUUAAUUCAUUUUAUAACAC